AGUAACACGUGGGUAACCUACCUAUAAGACUGGGAUAACUCCGGGAAACCGGGGCUAAUACCGGAUAAUAUUUUGAACCGCAUGGUUCAAUAGUGAAAGACGGUUUCGGCUGUCACUUAUAGAUGGACCCGCGCCGUAUUAGCUAGUUGGUAAGGUAACGGCUUACCAAGGCGACGAUACGUAGCCGACCUGAGAGGGUGAUCGGCCACACUGGAACUGAGACACGGUCCAGACUCCUACGGGAGGCGGCAGUAGGGAAUCUUCCGCAAUGGGCGAAAACCUGACGG
rnacentral:rRNA from 1 species